rnacentral:ncRNA from 1 species
CAUCAAAAACCAAGUCUCUAAGCAAUGGAUGUCUUGGCUCCUCACACGAUGAAGAACGUGGCAUAAUGUGUUAAGUAACCGGAGUUGCAAACAUCAUGACAGGUUAAUCUUUGAAUGCAAAUUGCGCUAAACUCGAUCUCGGUCGAGAAGCAUGGGUGUGACAGUACUACAUCUUUUAUAAUAAUUCUUAUUCUAAGCGAAUAAGUAAAUAAUAUAUAAGACAAACAACACGUAGUCUGCCAUACGCAGGAAGACCCGCUGAACUGAAGCAUCUCAUUAAGCGGAGGAAAAGAAACUAACUAGGAUUCCCUUAGUAAAGGCGAUCGAAAAGGGAACAGCCCAACGUCUUAAUCCCGCAAGGGAAAUGUAGUCGGUUCACCUAUUGCACUGGUCUAAGUCAGAUGGAAUGCUGCGCGAUUCAGAGUAAAAGCCUCGUAUGACCAACCGCAAGCUUACGAUGGACCGGGGAGAGUCGGAUACUUUGAGAGUAGUGUCUUAAGGGGGUGGUAUGUCCC